rnacentral:rRNA from 1 species
AUCCGGUUCACUUUAACACUGAGGCGUGACGACGAGGCACUACGGUGCUGAAGCAACAAAUGCCCUGCUUCCAGGAAAAGCCUCUAAGCAUCAGGUAACAUCAAAUCGUACCCCAAACCGACACAGGUGGUCAGGUAGAGAAUACCAAGGCGCUUGAGAGAACUCGGGUGAAGGAACUAGGCAAAAUGGUGCCGUAACUUCGGGAGAAGGCACGCUGACACGUAGGUGAAGUGAUUUACUCAUGGAGCUGAAGUCAGUCGAAGAUACCAGCUGGCUGCAACUGUUUAUUAAAAACACAGCACUGUGCAAACACGAAAGUGGACGUAUACGGUGUGACGCCUGCCCGGUGCCGGAAGGUUAAUUGAUGGGGUCAGCGCAAGCGAAGCUCCUGAUCGAAGCCCCGGUAAACGGCGGCCGUAACUAUAACGGUCCUAAGGUAGCGAAAUUCCUUGUCGGGUAAGUUCCGACCUGCACGAAUGGCGUAAUGAUGGCCAGGCUGUCUCCACCCGAGACUCAGUGAAAUUGAACUCGCUGUGAAGAUGCAGUGUACCCGCGGCAAGACGGAAAGACCCCGUGAACCUUUACUAUAGCUUGACACUGAACAUUGAGCCUUGAUGUGUAGGAUAGGUGGGAGGCUUUGAAGUGUGGACGCCAGUCUGCAUGGAGCCGACCUUGAAAUACCACCCUUUAAUGUUUGAUGUUCUAACGUGGACCCGUUACCCGGGUUGCGGACAGUGUCUGGUGGGUAGUUUGACUGGGGCGGUCUCCUCCUAAAGAGUAACGGAGGAGCACGAAGGUUGGCUAAUCCUGGUCGGACAUCAGGAGGUUAGUGCAAUGGCAUAAGCCAGCUUGACUGCGAGCGUGACGGCGCGAGCAGGUGCGAAAGCAGGUCAUAGUGAUCCGGUGGUUCUGAAUGGAAGGGCCAUCGCUCAACGGAUAAAAGGUACUCCGGGGAUAACAGGCUGAUACCGCCCAAGAGUUCAUAUCGACGGCGGUGUUUGGCACCUCGAUGUCGGCUCAUCACAUCCUGGGGCUGAAGUAGGUCCCAAGGGUAUGGCUGUUCGCCAUUUAAAGUGGUACGCGAGCUGGGUUUAGAACGUCGUGAGACAGUUCGGUCCCUAUCUGCCGUGGGCGCUGGAGAACUGAGGGGGGCUGCUCCUAGUACGAGAGGACCGGAGUGGACGCAUCACUGGUGUUCGGGUUGUCAUGCCAAUGGCACUGCCCGGUAGCUAAAUGCGGAAGAGAUAAGUGCUGAAAGCAUCUAAGCACGAAACUUGCCCCGAGAUGAGUUCUCCCUGAGACUUAAAGUCUCCUGAAGGAACGUUGAAGACGACGACGUUGAUAGGCCGGGUG